rnacentral:rRNA from 1 species
AACAAACGCUGGCGGCGUGCCUAACACAUGCAAGUCGUACGAGAAAGUCGGCUUCGGCCGAUGAGUACAGUGGCGCACGGGUGAGUAGCGCGUGGGUAAUCUGCCCCCCGGUCAGGAAUAACCCGCCGAAAGGCGGGCUAAUACCCGAUAACACUGACGCUCCGCGGAGCGUCUUUCAAAGAAGGCCUCUGUUUACAAGCUUUCGCCGGAGGAUGAGCCCGCGUACCAUUAGCUAGUUGGCAGGGUAAUGGCCUACCAAGGCUACGAUGGUUAGCUGGUCUGAGAGGAUGGCCAGCCACACUGGAACUGAGACACGGUCCAGACUCCUACGGGAGGCAGCAGUGAGGAAUCUUGCGCAAUGGGGGAAACCCUGACGCAGCAACGCCGCGUGAGUGAGGAAGGCCUUCGGGUCGUAAAGCUCUGUCAGAUGGAAGAAAUGGAUGGGGGCUAAUAUCGCCCAUCCUUGACGGUACCAUCAGAGGAAGCACCGGCUAACUCCGUCG